ensembl:snoRNA small nucleolar RNA, C/D box 41
UGGGAAGUGAUGACACUCAGGACCUCUUGACAUCACGCUGAUUUCUCACGUAUUCGUACUGGCUGAUCCCG